AUUGAACGCUGGCGGCAGGCCUAACACAUGCAAGUCGGGCGAGCGGCGGACGGGUGAGUAGGGUAUGGGGAUCUGCCUGAUGGAGGGAGAUAACUACGGGAAAAUGUAGCUAAUACCGCGUACCAUAGGAUGAGCCCAAGUGGGAUUAGGUAGUUGGUGAGGUAAAGGCUCACCAAGCCGACGAUCGCUAGCUGGUCUGCGAGGAUGACCCGCCACACUGGGACUGAGACACGUCCCAGACUCCUACGGGAGGCAGCAGUGGGGAAUAUUGCGCAAUGGGGGCAACCUGACGCAGCCAUGCCGCGUGAAUGAAGAAGGCCUUCGGGUUGUAAAGUUCUUUCGGUAGCGAGGCGUUAACUACAGAAGAAGCACCGGCUAACUCCGUGCCAGCAGCCGCGGUAAUAC
rnacentral:rRNA from 1 species